AUUCACUCAUCUGUAGAUUAUAUUCCCUAUGUAUAGGUAAUGACAGAUUUGUAUAUGUAGAGUUGCUUUGUGGUCGACUGAUGAUGCAGAGUCCAAGGUCUAUCCUUAAUAUCCCCUCAAUGGCUACCACCAGCAGCGCUAGCGUGGGUUUGAAGCUUCUGAUUGACACAAAAAGCCACAAAGUUCUGUUUGCUGAAGCAAGCAAGGAAGUUGUUGAUUUCCUUUUCAGUUUUCUGUCUUUGCAUGUUGCAACUGUUACUAGGCUCCUCUCAACUGAUGGUAUUGUUGGUUACUUAGGCAACCUUUACCAGAGUGCCGAAAGCCUUAGUGUCAGCUCAUACUUGCCACUCAAUCUGCGGCCAAUAUCCUUCAAUUGCCAUUGCCGACCAACAAUGACUAGAAUCUUUCUAAAUUGUUCUACAUUUGUGUGAGGUGGAGUUAAUAAAAACACAGUCAAGCCCAAAAUUAAGGUCCAGAAAAGGACGCAAGGCAGUUAAUAAAAACAGAGCACAUAUUUUCAUCUUCUCCACUCCAGAGAGCCCUACUCUACGUCUACCGUCUACGCCUAAAAAGCUGCACUUGGGUCUCCUCUUGUUCCCUAAUUUCUCUAUAAGGCCUGUUGGUCCCAAUUCCCCUUGUAACUGCAUCAAUGGCAACCAACACUGUAAGCUUGAAGCUCUUGAUUGACACAAAGGGCCACAAGGUUCUGUUUGCUGAAGCAAGCAAGGACUUUGUGGAUUUCCUUUUCACGCCUCUGGCUCUGCCUGUUGGAACUGUGAUUAGGCUCCUCUCUAAGGAUAACAUGGUGGGCAGCUUAGGCAAGCUUUAUGAUAGUCUUGAACUUCUUAAUGACACAUAUAUGUUACCUAAUCUCAACAAGGACACAUUGCUGAAACCCAAGGUACCCAUUGGUGGUGCUAAUGUUCCUCAUCUGUUGACCAAUGAUGAAUCAUUGGAUAAAAAGGUGUACAU